GAGUUUGAUCCUGGCUCAGGAUGAACGCUGGCGGCGUGCCUAAUACAUGCAAGUAGAACGCUGAAGUCUGGUGCUUGCACUAGACGGAUGAGUUGCGAACGGGUGAGAAACGCGUAGGUAACCUGCCUCAUAGCGGGGGAUAACUAUUGGAAACGAUAGCUAAUACCGCAUAACAGUAUUUACUGCAUGGUAGAUACUUGAAAGGAGCAAUUGCUUCACUAUGAGAUGGACCUGCGUUGUAUUAGCUAGCUGGUGAGGUAACGGCUCACCAAGGCAUCGAUACAUAGCCGACCUGAGAGGGUGAUCGGCCACACUGGGACUGAGACACGGCCCAGACUCCUACGGGAGGCAGCAGUAGGGAAUCUUCGGCAAUGGGGGCAACCCUGACCGAGCAACGCCGCGUGAGUGAAGAAGGUUUUCGGAUCGUAAAGCUCUGUUGUAAGAGAAGAACUGUGAGAAGAGUGGAAAGUUUCUCACUUGACGGUAUCUUACCAGAAAGGGACGGCUAACUACGUGCCAGCAGCCGCGGUAAUACGUAGGUCCCAAGCGUUGUCCGGAUUUAUUGGGCGUAAAGCGAGCGCAGGCGGUUUGAUAAGUCUGAAGUAAAAGGCUGUGGCUUAACCAUAGUACGCUUUGGAAACUGUCAAACUUGAGUGCAGAAGGGGAGAGUGGAAUUCCAUGUGUAGCGGUGAAAUGCGUAGA
rnacentral:rRNA from 1 species